AUUGAACGCUGGCGGCGGGCCUAACACAUGCAAGUCGAGCGGAGCGGCGGACGGGUGGGUAAUGCCUAGGAAUCUGCCUGGUAGUGGGGGAUAACGUCCGGAAACGGGCGCUAAUGCCGCAUACUAUCAGAUGAGACUAGGUCGGAGUAGCUAGUUGGUGGGGUAAAGGCCUAGCAAGGCGACGAUCCGUAACUGGUCUGAGAGGAUGAUCAGUCACACGGGAACUUAGACACGGUCCAGACGCCCACGUGAGGCAGCAGGGGGGAAUAGUGGACAAUGGGCGAAAGCCUGAUCCAGCCAUGCCGCGUGUGUGAAGAAGGUCUUCGGAUUGUAAAGCACUUUAAGUUGGGAGGCGUUACCAACAGAAUAAGCACCGGCUAACUUCGUGCCAGCAGCCGCGGUAAUUC
rnacentral:rRNA from 1 species